CGGGUGUCUGGGGCGGACGGCAAGUUUACUUUGAACAAAUUUGAGUGCUCAAAGCAGGCCUAUGCCUGACAAUUCUUGCAUGGAAUAAUGGAAUAGGACUUCGGUUCUAUUUUGUUGGUUUUCGGAUCCGAAGUAAUGGUUAAGAGGGACAGACGGGGGCAUUUGUAUGGCGGUGUUAGAGGUGAAAUUCUAUGAUCAUCGCCAGACAAACUAAAGCGAAAGCAUUUGCCAAGGAUGUUUUCAUUAAUCUGGAGCGAAAGUCAGAGGUUCAAAGACGAUCAGAUACCGUCGUAGUUCUGACCAUAAACGAUACCAACUGACGAUCCGUGGGUGCUCGUUCAUUGACCCCAUGGGCAGUCCCCGGGAAACCUUGAAGUCUUUGGGUUCCGGGGGAAGUAUGGUUGCAAAGCUGAAACUUAAAGGAAUUGACGGAAGGGCACCACCAGGAGUGGAGCGUGCGGUUCAAUUCGACUCAACACGGGAAAUCUCACCCGGCCCGGACACUGUGAGGAUUGACAGAUUGAGAGCUCUUUCUUGAUUCGGUGGUUGGUGGUGCAUGGCCGUUCUUAGUUGGUGGAGCGAUUUGUCUGGUUAAUUCCGAUAACGAACGAGACUUUGGCCUGCUAAAUAGUAUGCCUGUCCUCUGCUCUUGUGCGGGUGGCGGUAGUGGUAGCCUUUCGGGGUGAUACUGCCGUACGCCGGCGAGGGCUGCGCAGGUCUAUACUUCUUAGAGGGACAAGCGGUUUUUAGCCGCACGAAAUUGAGCAAUAACAGGUCUGUGAUGCCCUUAGAUGUCCGGGGCCACACGUGCGCUACAAUGACGGUUUCAACGAGUAUGGCGACCUUACUCGAAAGAGCUGGGUAAACUGAAACAUAACCGUCGUAACUGGGAUCGGGGCUUGCAAUUAUUCCCCGUGAACGAGGAAUCCCUGGUAAGUGCAAGUCAUUACCUUGCGCUGAUUACGUCCCUGCCCUUUGUACACACCGCCCGUCGCUACUACCGAUUGAGUGGUUUAGUGAGGACUUUGGAUCGGUUCCAGUGCAGUUGCUUCGGCAGCUCAACCGGGACUGAAAAGAUGUCCGAACUUGAUCAUUUAGAGGAAGUAAAAGUCGUAACAAGGUUUCC
rnacentral:rRNA from 1 species